UAGCCGUGGUGGGGGCAUUCAAGUUGGUAGCUCUUGAAUCUCUCCCAUGCAUUUCUGAAUGAUUCCCGUGGGUUUUGACGGAAUGUGGGGAUUUUCCUCCUUGCAA
rfam:Brassica napus, WGS project CCCW01000000 data, contig: 7693